GGGCCGUGGGGACGUGGGGUGGGUGGGGAAGGGAUGGAAGAAACACAGAAAAGGCCGGCUAGUGAAGAGGAGGGGGCGUAAGUUCUAUUCGCGCAACCGCGUAGAAAAAAAAAAGGUCCAGUCCUCAAACUCUACAGCGGGGGCGAGCCGAGGAAGAAGAGGUCGCCGCCGCCGCCACCGCUUCCAUGUCUGGGGGAAUCGCCCGCGGCCGCCUUGCCGAGGAGCGCAAGGCCUGGCGCAAGAACCACCCGCACGGUUUCGUCGCAAAGCCGGAGUCGCUGCCCGACGGGACGGUGAACCUUAUGAUUUGGCACUGCACCAUCCCCGGCAAGCAAGGGACUGAUUGGGAAGGUGGAUACUUCCCACUCACCCUUCAUUUCAGUGAGGAUUACCCUAGCAAGCCUCCCAAGUGCAAGUUCCCUCAGGGUUUCUUCCACCCAAAUGUCUAUCCUUCUGGAACAGUCUGUCUUUCGAUCCUUAAUGAAGAUAGUGGUUGGAGACCAGCUAUUACUGUUAAGCAGAUUCUCGUCGGGAUCCAGGACUUGCUAGAUCAGCCAAAUCCUGCUGAUCCUGCUCAAACGGAUGGCUAUCACCUUUUUAUCCAGGAUCCUACAGAAUAUAAGAGGCGUGUUAAACUGCAGGCGAAGCAGUAUCCCGCGUUGGUCUGAGAACUUCGCCCUACUAGGGAUCCAAGCUGCACAUUCGCAUAGUUGUUGCUAGUGUCUUGAAUGGAAGACUAAAGAACAAGAUCAACAUGAGGAAGACUACUAUAAAGAUUGUGAGUUCUAGGCCAUUGUUGCUUCGAUCAACCACCAUGUGGAUAGUCGUUAGUUUUCUAGCUUAUGUUAUAAAGAUAUUCAAUUUAUGUAAUAAAGUUUAUGAUAUUGGUUUGCAGAGAAAUCAUCAUAUUUGUAUAAUCUGGUCUUGACUCCUAGCUACACAGUAAAGGUUCAAGAUGUUAUUUUUUUAAAAAAUGACAUCCAGACCUCAACUAGGUAAUUUUUCAAAGCUAGAAUAAAAAAAUGAAAUUUCGAUUA